UACGUAGGGGGCAAGCGUUGUCCGGAUUUAUUGGGCGUAAAGAGCGUGUAGGCGGCCGUACAGGUCAGCUGUGAAAACUCGAGGCUCAACCUCGAGACGUCGGUUGAAACCGUACGGCUAGAGUCCGGAAGAGGAGAGUGGAAUUCCCGGUGUAGCGGUAAUAUGCGUAGAUAUCGGGAGGAACACCAGUGGCGAAGGCGGCUCUCUGGGGUAUUUCUGACGCUGAGGCACGAAAGCCAGGGGAGCGAACGGG
rnacentral:rRNA from 1 species